CUAAAUUCUUUGCUUGUUUCAUAUAUACUAAAAUUGGUACUCUACAGAGAAGAUUUGCAUGGCCCCUGCACAAGGAUGACAUGCAAAUUUGUGAAGUGUUCCAUAUUUAA